rnacentral:rRNA from 1 species
UACGAGGGAUGCAAGCUUUAUCCGGAAUUAUUGGGCGUAAAGCGUUUGUAGGCGGGCGAGUGUGUUUAAUGUUAAAUCUUAAAGCUCAACUUUGAAAUUGCGUUAAAAACUGCUUGUCUUGAGUAUGGUAGGGGUAAAGGGAAUUCCCAGUGUAGCGGUGAAAUGCGUAGACAUUGGGAAGAACACUAAACAGCGAAGGCACUUUACUAGGCUAAUACUGACGCUGAGAAACGAAAGGUAAGGUAGCGAAACGGAUUAGAUACCCGUGUAGUCUUACCCGUAAACUAUGGACACUAAACGGUAAAUUUUUAAUUUACUGUUAAAGCUAACGCGUUAAGUGUCCCGCCUGGGGAGUAUGCUUGCAAAAGUGAAACUCAAAGGAAUUGACGGGGGCCCGCACAAGCGGUGGAGCAUGUGGUUUAAUUCGACGGUACACGAAGAACCUUACCAGGAUUUGACAUGCUAGAUAGUUGCUUGAAAGAGUAACGUGCCGUAAGGAAUCUAGACACAGGUGGUGCAUGGCUGUCGUCAGUUCGUGUUGUGAAAUGUUGGGUUAAGUCCCGCAACGAACGCAACCCUUGUCUUUAGUUAUUUUCUAAAGAGACUGCCUGUAAUAAACAGGAGGAAGGUAAGGAUGAGGUCAAGUCAUCAUGCCCCUUAUGUCCUGGGCUACACACGUGCUACAAUGGGAAAGACAAUGAGCUGCAAAUCUGUAAAUUUAAGCAAAUCUCUUAAACUUUCUCGUAGUUCGGAUUGUGGGCUGCAACUCGCCCACAUGAAGUUGGAAUCGCUAGUAAUCGCCAGUCAGCUAUAUGGCGGUGAAUCCGUUCCCGGGCCU